rnacentral:rRNA from 1 species
GAACCGCACAAACGUUAUUCGGAAUCACUGGGCUUAAAGGGUGCGUAGGCGGCGCUGUAAGUUGGAUGUGAAAUCCCACAGCUCAACUGUGGAACUGCGUUCAAUACUGCAGUGCUUGAGGGAGAUAGAGGAGAGCGGAACUAUGGGUGGAGCGGUGAAAUGCGUUGAUAUCCGUAGGAACACCGGUGGCGAAAGCGGCUCUCUGGGUCUCUUCUGACGCUGAGGCACGAAAGCUAGGGGGUAGCGAACGGGAUUAGAUACCCCGGUAGUCCUAGCUGUAAACGAUGAGCACUGGGUUGGGGAGGUUCCCAUGCCUUCCUGGCCGAACUGAAAAAGUUAAGUGCUCCGCCUGGGAGUAUGGUCGCAAGGCUG